rnacentral:rRNA from 1 species
UACGGAGGAUGCAAGCGUUAUCCGGAAUGAUUGGGCGUAAAGCGUCCGCAGGUGGCUAUGUAAGUCUGCUGUUAAAGAGUCUGGCUCAACCAGAUAAAGGCAGUGGAAACUACAUGGCUAGAGUGCGUUCGGGGCAGAGGGAAUUCCUGGUGUAGCGGUGAAAUGCGUAGAGAUCAGGAAGAACACCCGUGGCUAAGGCGGCUCUCUAGUACGGUACUGACGCUGAGACGCGAAAGCGUGGGGAGCGAACAGG